GAGUGAAAUUGUUGGGAGAAGCAUAUUAGAAUAUUCUUGUGGUAUAUUACUCUAUUGGCCCAACAACUGCUAUAAUUUGUAUUCAUUUGGCACAAUCUGUUCCCUCUUUCUCUCUGAAUUUAUCUUUCUUCAACGAUCUUCCAUGGCCAGAGCUCACGGAGAUGUCGACCGAACGACUGCUUUCGUGGGUACCAUCUGUCUCACUCACACACAGAGAGACAUCAUUUAGUUUGCUAGAGCGUCAUGGAUGAGAAUACAAGGAUCAUGAAAUUGUAUUUCAAGACGGAUUCCUUCUUUUGCUCCUCGAUCAAACCAUAAGAUGAGAUAAUUUGUAUCCGUUUCUCGUUCGUCUGCAAAUGGAUAUCUGUCGUGUAAGCUUAUCUUACUCUUUGAUGCCUUGAUCAACUCAAGAAGAGCUGCAUUUACCUGAAAUUCCAACAAAAACAAGUUGGUACCUCUUCGGUUCUCUCAUGGCUCACAAGAUGCCCUCCGUGAAGUUCAACCAUUCUUGCAGAAGGAUAAAAUUUUCCUGCAAGCCUUUUUGCAUGGCAUAAUUGGGCGAUGACAUCAUAUCUACAGCAUCAUAAAUAUUUGGUCAUAAUCUUAGUACGGUCCAGAUUCCAAAUGGGAGAAAUAUUUAACAUUUUUGUGCUACAGCUACCUGCCAUGAAUAACGGAUAUAGGAAAUCCAGAAGCACGGAUUGACUCAAUUUCCGUCCGUGACAUUUUAUGAGUCCAGCAUGCAUUGAUCUGACCAUCAAAUCCAUGUUUUGACUGCAUACCAGUUGAUGAUAUGCCUUGUACAUAUAGCUACAAAUUUUUAAAACAACAUAGAAUAGUAAUUGUACUUAUAAUGCAAACUUCAUUGAAAUA